rnacentral:rRNA from 1 species
GACGAACGCUGGCGGCGUGCCUAACACAUGCAAGUCGAGCGGGGAUUUAAGUGGAAGUUCUUCGGAAUGGAGAUUUAAAUUCUAGCGGCGGACGGGUGAGUAACGCGUGAACAAUCUGUCCCGGACAGGGGGAUAACACUUGGAAACAGGUGCUAAUACCGCAUAAGACCACGGCCUCGCAUGGGGCUGAGGUAAAAGGAGCAAUCCGGUUCGGGGUGAGUUCGCGUCCGAUUAGCUAGUUGGUGAGGUAACGGCCCACCAAGGCGACGGUCGGUAGCCGGCCUGAGAGGGUGAACGGCCACAUUGGAACUGAGAGACGGUCCAAACUCCUACGGGAGGCAGCAGUGGGGAAUAUUGGGCAAUGGGCGAAAGCCUGACCCAGCAACGCCGCGUGAGGGAAGAAGGCUUUCGGAUUGUAAACCUCUGUCCUAUGGGACGAAGGAAGUGACGGUACCAUAGGAGGAAGCCCCGGCUAACUACGUG